rnacentral:lncRNA from 1 species
AGUGUAUCCAGACAGAAAAAUGUAUGUGCUCACAUGAACACAUACGGAUGACUAAUAUGAGAAGUGAAGACUCAUUUCAGUCUGAAGUCGACGCUGCCUCUCUGAUCUUGGAUGAAGGUGUGACUGUUGGUUAGUAUCAGGCGUCGAGGAGCUGCGGGAAAAUGAACGUUUUGAUGCAACGCCCUGAGAAACAGUGCGACCAGAGCUCAGGUCUGAACAGAACAAACGGUUAAAUUGAGCCAUCACCACCCAUCUCCUCUGUUUGCUUAAGUGUGUUACUGGGUUAUCUGGCCAAAGACUACUCAUCUUAUCAAACAUGCCGAGUCACCUCCCUUCAACUCUAGUGAAGACUUAUGGUUUUGGGAAAGUACAUUGUGUAAAAGCACCACAAACGAAUGUCCCUGUUUCAGUCUAAAAGGUUUGACAGUCUGAUGUCAUAGAGAAUCUCUGGAAGCUUUGAAUUCUUGAUAAGAAGGUUCUGUUAUUUUUAAGAAUGAUGAUGAUAUGUGAAUUCAGAGUAGUGUAUUAGAACACACUGCGCUGCACACUGUAUCCCAUAAUGCAAAGUGCUCAUCAUGCUUUUAGCUCAGAUUGGCUGAAUGUUUACCUAAGAUUGGACCGAAAAUGCAAAAUAAGCGAAUUUGCAACUGGAUUUUGAAUUAUAUAAGAUGAGGUCUGUGUGGCAUUCAGAAUUGAUUUCCUGUUCAAUUUCUGUUUUUGAAAUGAGAUAGCAAACAGGAUGAAGAGUUGCAAUAUGAUUUCAGUGUUUGAGGUGUCACCUACAUAAAUAAAAAAAUUCAACCCUUUAUCAAACGCCUAGCGACCACCCAAAAUGUCCAAAAAACUGCAUUGCAACAUGCUAAAAACCACUUCAACACCUUAGCAACUGCUUAGCGGCCAUUUAAAACACUAAACAUUUGUGAAUCAGAACACUUGAUUUCCCAGAAUGCACUGCAUCUGUGUUAAAUUGUUUUGAGUUAUGGCGCUUUAAAGUCAUAACAGAAAGAUUGUAAAUACGAGUUGAAUGUGCUUAAAACAAAAUACACCUGAUGCACAUUCUUUAUUCAUCAUUGUAGAAUUAAAAAUUGUUGUAGAGAAAGUACAUUGCCAUCUUGCUCC